rnacentral:tmRNA from 1 species
GGGGGCGAACUGGCUUCGACGUAUUUGAAGACAGCUCAUGUCGCAUGCCGAGCCGGGCUAACUCGUUAAACUGACCCGUCGCUUAUUAAACGGCGAACCAAUUAACGCACUUGCGGCCUGAUUAACGCCGCAACGCUUCACAGGGCAGCGCCUGCGGGCUUUGUGAGGCGGCAUUCAGCAGGCUCUGCCGCCCGCGUCGCCCGGCGCGCGAACGGCGAGAAAACAGUCGGGACAGCGGAAAAAGCGUUUGCCCGCCGGCAACUUUUUUCGUUAAACAACGGCGGGACAAGCAUGUAGAAGCUGGGCGGGUCUCUUUUGCGGACGCGGGUUCAAUUCCCGCCGCCUCCACCA